GACGAACGCUGGCGGCGUGCUUAACACAUGCAAGUCGAACGGAAAGGCCCUGCUUUUGUGGGGUGCUCGAGUGGCGAACGGGUGAGUAACACGUGAGUAACCUGCCCUUGACUUUGGGAUAACUUCAGGAAACUGGGGCUAAUACCGGAUAGGAGCUCCUGCUGCAUGGUGGGGGUUGGAAAGUUUCGGCGGUUGGGGAUGGACUCGCGGCUUAUCAGCUUGUUGGUGGGGUAGUGGCUUACCAAGGCUUUGACGGGUAGCCGGCCUGGGAGGGUGACCGGCCACGUUGGGACUGAGAUACGGCCCAGACGCCUACGGGCGGCAGCAGUGGGGAAUAUUGCACAAUGAGCGGAAGCCUGAUGCAGCAGCGCCGCGUGCGGGAUGACGGCCUUCGGGUUGUAAACCGCUUUCGCCUGUGACGAAGCGUGAGUGACGGUAAUGGGUAAAGAAGCACCGGCUAACUACGUG
rnacentral:rRNA from 1 species